rnacentral:rRNA from 1 species
AUUGAACGCUGGCAGCAGGCUUAACACAUGCAAGUCGAACGAGUGGCGGACGGGUGAGUAAUGUCUGGGAAACUGCCCGAUGGAGGGGAAUAACUUCUGGGAACUGUAGCUAAUACCGCAUACCAUCGGAUGUGCCCAGAUGGGAUUAGCUAGUAGGUGGGGUAACGGCUCACUUAGGCGACGAUCCCUAGCUGGUCUGAGAGGAUGACCAGCCACACUGGAACGGAGACACGGUCCAGACUCCUACGGGAGGCAGCAGUGGGGAAUAGUGCACAAUGGGCGCAAGCCUGAUGCAGCCAUGCCGCGUGUAUGAAGAAGGCCUUCGGGUUGUAAAGUACUUUCAGCGAGGAGGCGUUACUCGCAGAAGAAGCACCGGCUAACUCCGUGCCAGCCGCCGCGGUAAUUC